CAUAAUACAUGCAAGUCGAGCGGAUCUUUGGGAGCUUGCUCCCCUCCAUUAUCGGCGGACGGGUGAGUAACACGUGGGCAACCUGCCUAUGAGACUGGGAUAUCUCCGGGAAACCGGGGCUAAUACCGGAUAAUUCUUUUCUACACAUGUAUAAAAGCUGAAAAAUGGGUUCGGCUAUCACUCUUAUAUGGGCCCCCGGCGCAUUAUCUAUUUGGGGAGGUAACGGCUCUCCAAGGCGACAAUACGUAUCCGACCUGAGAGGGUGAUCGGCCACACUGGGACUGAGACACGGCCCCCACACCUACGGGAGGCGGCAGUAGGGAAUCUUCCCCAAUGGACAAAAGUCUGACAGAGCAACGCCCCGUGAGUGAUAAAGGUUUUCGGAUCGCAAAACUCUGUUGUUAUGGAAAAAAAAGUACCGGAGUAAAUGUCGGUACCUUGAGGGUACCUAAACAGAAAGCCACGGCUAACUACAUGCCACCACCCGCGGUAAUACGUAGGUGGGAAGCGUUGUCCGGAAUUAUUGGGCGUAAAACGCGCGCAGGUGGUCUCUUAUAUCUGAUGUGAAAGCCCCCGGCUCUCCCGGGGAGGGGCUUUGUAAACUGUGAGACUUGAGUGCAGGAGAGAAAAGUGUAAUUCCCCGUGUAUCGCUGAAAUGCGUAUAGAUGUGGAGGAAAACCACUGGGGAAAGCGACUCUUUGUCCUGUAACUGACACUGAGACGCGAAAACGUGGGGAGCAAACACGAAUUAUAUACACCUGUGUAGUCCACGCCCCAAACAAUGAAGUGCUAAGUGUUGAUAGGGUGUUCCGCCCUUCUAUUUGCUGCAGCCAAACACAUUAAUAUCACCUCCGCCCGGUGGGAGUACUGGCCGGCAAGACGUGAAAACUCUAAGGAAUUGUCGGGGGGGCCGCACAAGCGGGGGGGAGCACGUUGGGUUUUAAUUACGAAGACACAGCGAA
rnacentral:rRNA from 1 species